rnacentral:misc_RNA from 1 species
UCCGACUUAACGUCGGCAGUCUCGCAUGAGUCCCCAACUGAAUGCUGGCAACAUGCGACGGGGGUUGCGCUCGUUGCGGGACUUAACCCAACAUCUCACGACACGAGCUGACGACAGCCAUGCACCACCUGUGAAAGUGUCCCGAAGGAAAGCCGUGUUUCCACGGCGGUCAGGAACAUGUCAAACCCAGGUAAGGUUCUUCGCGUUGCGUCGAAUUAAACCACAUGCUCCACCGCUUGUGCGGGCCCCCGUCAAUUCCUUUGAGUUUCAACCUUGCGGUCGUACUCCCCAGGCGGGGUACUUCCUGCGUUAGCGCCGGCACCCAGAGGGUCGCUCCCCCAGGCACCUAGUACCCAUCGUUUACGGCGUGGACUAC